rnacentral:pre_miRNA from 1 species
UCUUCAUUUCCCGUGUUCUCUCACCAAUCAAAAUGGCGAGAGAGCGUGUAAAAUGAAGAGA